GCUCUCUCUCUCAAAAUAACUAAAUGAACUUUAAAAAGGAAAAAAAAGAUUAGUCUUUUCCUUUAAGGAAACCAGUGACAGGUAGACCUGGCAUGAAGUCACGUCCAGGCACUUCCUUGGCACUCCCUGCAACUGUCACCCGCAAGGGUUCAGAAUUAGAGACAGCCAGCUAAUGUGAUCGAAUGACUUUUAUGUCCCGGCGUUACAGGAAAGAUAUUUGGACAGACCUGGAUGCCUCUGGGACACACCCAGCCGACCUGUGCUCUUCUAUAUUCACCAGACACCGAGUGUCGAAAACAAAGCUCUGUCCCUGCCCUGGAUCCCAGAGGCCGAGCUGCCAGAAUUCUCCCUUGACCUGUGACCAGGCCCACGGGCAAAGCAACAGGCCCACAACAGUGAACCGACCCGUGCCACCGCCCUUCACCCACUACGGAUUCAGAGACAAAGCUACCUCUGGAGACGCGAGCCCGACGAGGGCCCUCUCUGCACCCAAACAGGAUACUCACGUGAUUGCAUUCCUCUAUGCGGUACAGUUGAUCAGGCGUACACCUCUCCAAAACGGGUUCGAGGACAGAAUACGGGACGCCUCCCACUUCAAAGAUCGCUGCAGAGAAUCAAAGGUGGAAGUGUCGAAUAUUGGCCGGCCCCGCCAAGGCCACAACGGGGUUAAGAGCAAGAGAAAAGUGUGGGACUUACAAUCGAUGUUGUUUUUAAGUACCCGGAUGCACUGCUGGUGCAAGGUCAUCAUUUUGGGGAGAUAGGCACACUUGGAGCCAGAAUACACCUGCAUCUUGGAAUUCAUUCUCCGUCCGGUGAAUCCAGCUUCUUCCUCUUCCUGGGGUGAAGACAGUGCUGCAGGGCAAGGACAACAGGACCGCGCGUCACACAGGGCACUAAGCUGUGCAGGGAAAGCUCUCCUUCUCUCCCCCCUCCUCAGCCUCCCACUACCCUUUCCCAAAGGCCACCAGGGCUCCCGGUUUCUUGUGUGUAUUCUUCUAGCGAGUCUAUGCAAAAAUAAGUAAAUAUGUAUUUCAUUCCUUUUUCACCGAUUAAAAAACCCCCACUAUCAACUUUUUUCAUUUGCCACAUUUUAGAAAUCAUCCUAUGUCAGACACAGGCCUUCCCACAUUUUUUACAGCUGUACAGGAGGCCACUGUGUGCGUGACCACGGUUCAUGUGAUUUGUCUCUUGCUGAGGGACCCUUAUGUGGCUUCUAAUUCUUCUGCUAUUAAAACUAGACCUUUUUUUUUUUUUUUAAAGAUAAAAAGCUCACGUACAACAUAUGAAGGGUAGCUAGUAACCGCAGCAAAGAUUUACUGAACAUUCACCCUGUGGAAAAACCCAGAGUUAAGAGCUUUACCAGCAUUAUCAUUUUUAAUCCACUUAGUAAGUCAGACACCAUUAUCAGGUCCACUUAUGGAGCAUGAGACUGAAGUCCAAGGAAAUGAUUACCCAAGUUCAUAGAACGUGAAGCCAGAGCUGGGAUUCACACCCAAGCCGUCAAACUCCAGAGCCCAGGACGCUAGAAAGCUCACCCAAAUCUUAUGACAUCGUGAACAAAUUUUUAAAAUCUUUGUUCCAUUCAGAAAAGAAUGCAGAAAAUUACCUUUUCGCUUUGGUGGGAAGGAGGACAUCAAUUCCAGGGUAGGAAGCGGCCGGUAAUUGGCCUGGAUCACGGGUAACGGGAGGUCUGGCAACACGGGCAAUGCAUCAGCGGGGACCUGCGGUGAGAACACCAGUAACCGGACAGCCCGCUGGGCAAGCACAGCUCCCCGCCCUCGGCCGACUGCCAGCCGCGGUGACCAGGCAGGCGACUUCACGAGCAGACCCAGGCUGGAGGAGGGCCGUCGGUCAGGUCUGACACCACCGAGGGCAGGAGAUACACUGGGAUGGGCCCAGCACAGCGGGACACCUCCGAAAACACUCGUCUUGGGUACUAGCUACACCCUGGCAGCACCUCCAAAGGCCUGGAGGCGAUUACUUCAAACUGAAACGGCAGGCCACGAAAAAGCCAGCCAAGCACGACAGCGGCAAGUCAAGUCCUGGGAGCUGUGCGGGGCCAGAUGCUCUGACUGGGAAGCCACCAAGGGGCUGAAGGGCUUACCUUUUUCAGCUUGGCUGAAUCGGCUCCAGCUGGCUGAAGCUUCUCGGACUUGUUUUCAUUUACCUUAGGUAAUUUCUGAACGGAGUCCAAGUUUUUAUUAGUGCUUUUCGAAUCAGUUUUUUUAAGUCCUUUUUCUCCAAGAGUCGUGGCUGAGGCUUUCACAAUCUUUUUCUUUUUCUUCCGGGGCUGGUCGUAGCUGAGGUAGGACUCAAAAGACAUAGUGGGCUGCUCAAAUUCAUCAUCCAUAUCUGCCUCCUCAACCUUAGGGAGGGAGCCCACUGACUUUCUAUCUGAAUGAGAAGUUUUUACCUUCCCUUCUGAAGUUUUUAGGUUGUUGGAACCCCUCUCUUUCACCUUGGGCAGCGGGUCUCCCGCCCCCUUUCCUACAUCUAAGCUGUCUAGACUCUGCUUAUUUUUGUCCGAUUUGGUUUUCUCUGGGUCUCUGUGCUUUGGCUUGUUUUUAAGGUGGUUGUCUGAAGCAACUUCCAAGGGGGGUAAAAACUUCUUCUUGGUGCUGCCCUCUUUCUCCUUCUCUUUCUUGACACUAGAGGGUGGU